rnacentral:misc_RNA from 2 species
AACGCACCUUGCGCCCUUUGGCUAUUCCGAAGGGCAUGCCUGUUUGAGUAUCAUGAACACCUCAACUCUCGUGGCUUGCCAUGAUGAGCUUGGACUUUGGGGGUCUUGCUGGCCAGCGGUCGGCUCCUCUCAAAUGAAUCAGCUUGCCAGUGUUUGGCGGCACCACAGGUGUGAUAACUAUCUACGCUCGUGGUUCCCUGCUAGGCAUCCUUCAGCAAUGGAGGUUCACUGGAGCUCAUAAACGUCUCUCCAUAGCGAGGACAACUUCUUGAAUGUUUGAUCUCAAAUCAGGUAGGACUACCCGCUGAACUUAA